rnacentral:rRNA from 1 species
UACGUAGGGUGCGAGCGUUGUCCGGAAUUAUUGGGCGUAAAGAGCUUGUAGGCGGUUUGUCGCGUCUGCUGUGAAAAUCCGGGGCUCAACCCCGGACUUGCAGUGGGUACGGGCAGACUAGAGUGUGGUAGGGGAGACUGGAAUUCCUGGUGUAGCGGUGAAAUGCUCAGAUAUCAGGAGGAACACCGAUGGCGAAGGCGGAUCUCUGGGCCGAUACUGACGCUGAGGAGCGAAAGCGUGGGGAGCGAACAGG